rnacentral:rRNA from 1 species
UGGGGGAUAUUGCACAAUGGGGGAAACCCUGAUGCAGCGACGCCGCGUGAGGGAAGAAGGUUCUCGGAUUGUAAACCUCUGUCUUCGGUGACGAAAAUGACGGUAGCCGAGGAGGAAGCCACGGCUAACUACGUGCCAGCAGCCGCGGUAAUACGUAGGUGGCAAGCGUUGUCCGGAAUUACUGGGUGUAAAGGGAGCGUAGGCGGGAGAGCAAGUCGAUUGUCUAAACUAUGGGCUCAACCCAUAGUCGCGAUCGAAACUGUUUUUCUUGAGUGAAGUAGAGGUAAGCGGAAUUCCUAGUGUAGCGGUGAAAUGCGUAAAUAUUAGGAGGAACACCAGUGGCGAAGGCGGCUUACUGGGCUUUAACUGACGCUGAGGCUCGAAAGCGUGGGUAGCAAACAGG